UCUGCUGCCACUGACCCAGGG
rnacentral:misc_RNA from 1 species